rnacentral:rRNA from 1 species
GAUGAACGCUGGCGGCGUGCCUAAUACAUGCAAGUCGAGCGAACAGACGCGGAGCUUGCUCCUCUGACGUUAGCGGCGGACGGGUGAGUAACACGUGGAUAACCUACCUAUAAGACUGGGAUAACUUCGGGAAACCGGAGCUAAUACCGGAUAAUAUAUAGAACCGCAUGGUUCAAUAGUGAAAGACGGUUUUGCUGUCACUUAUAGAUGGAUCCGCGCCGCAUUAGCUAGUUGGUAGGGUAACGGCUUACCAAGGCAACGAUGCGUAGCCGACCUGAGAGGGUGAUCGGCCACACUGGAACUGAGACACGGUCCAGACUCCUACGGGAGGCAGCAGUAGGGAAUCUUCCGCAAUGGGCGAAAGCCUGACGGAGCAACGCCGCGUGAGUGAUGAAGGUCUUCGGAUCGUAAAGCUCUGUUAUUAGGGAAGAACAAAUGUGUAAGUAACUAUGCACGGCUUGACGGUACCUAAUCAGAAAGCCACGGCUAACUACGUG